rnacentral:tRNA from 2 species
AGAAAGAUAAGCUAAUCAAGCUAUUAGGUUCAUACCCUACUUAUAAAAGUAAAAUCUUUUUCUUUCUA